rnacentral:tRNA from 1 species
GGGGUUGUGGCUCAGUGGUAGAGCACUUACCUGGCAUGUGUGAGGCUCUGGGUUUGAUCCUUAGCACCA